CAUUCCUGUCAAAGUCCAGGACCCAAAAACUAAAAUGGAAUCGUAUAACAAAGGUACAAAGAAAGGUAAGAUGCCAGUGAACUGGUUCUUUAUAUAUAAUUGUUAUUACAUACUUACGUUUACUAGUUUUGUUGACCAAUUUUUAUUUAUAUUUUAGGAUAGAGAGAUUAUAGCAUAUGUGAUGAUCAAUUUUUUAUGUGACCCACUAUUAUUUAGUAACCUAUAUAUCAAUUAUAUUGCAGAGAAAAAUGAAAGUGGAAUUUCAAUACCAUUAUACAAUGUUCAUGAAUUAGAAAAGGCAGGCAAAGUACGAUAUGCUCUUGCUCGAUUAGAUUUUAUUAGGUGUGCUAAGAUUUUAUGUCAUCCCAUUCAAAAGUUUGCAUUCAGAUUACCAAUCAUAUCACUAUUUGGUAUGUAUAUAUUGAACUCCUCAACCCUUAAUUUUAUAUGCUCUAAUUUUUUGCUAAUGUCAUGGUAAACAAGUACUAAAACAAAAAAGUCACCAUGACUCUUUUAUUUUGUGAAAAAACUUAAUUUAUUUUGCAGAUUUGGCGGCAAUAAAGAUUAUUAAGAAUAAGCACAAAUAUGGUGGUCAACUUUUGAAAGCAUUUAUGAAAAAUCCUUGUCAAUCAUACACGGGUGGUGAGGACCCUGGGGUUGAUGAAGCUGCAGAAAAUUUUGCAAAAUUUAUCCAGAAAAAACGGAUCGAUUCAUUAAGUAAGAUUUAAAAUUAACUAAUUAUUUUAUCACAAAAUGAUGGUGAAGUAAACUCUAUUCCUUAAUAAUUUGAAGUAUUUACUCAAUCAUCGAUGAGAACAAAUUAUAUAUGUCCAACACGUUAAUAAUUCUACGGCUCGGUGUGUUAUAAUUCACCUUUCUUUCUAGUCUUUAACCACUGUCAGGUUAAUAAUUUCACGUUGUCAAACACUACCUUCAAUGAAGAUUCUUUUUGCGCAAAAAUUCUAUGAUUUCUUUUUGUUCUUACAUAUAAAGUUUAUGGUGAUACUUAGUCAAAAAUACACUAAGCCUAAGUCUUAGAAUGAGUAAAUACGUAGAAUGUAAUACCUCAUGCAUAUCCCUAGGGUUCCAUAAAUAUAGGCCCCAAGGGAGUAGAGUAGUUGAUUCCGCCUUAAGUGGGGGAAGAAUAUCUCAUGUGACCUAUUUUGUAGGCUUUGACGUUAUCCCAUGACUAAUAAAGUUCGAGCUAUCAUGUGAUACUAACCGUUUAUGAAAUGUCUCAACAUAAUCUUGUGAGAAUAUUGGGCUUUUCCGUUAUUGGGAGCGACAUACCUAUUUUCAUUGGGUAGGCGCGACCCACGUGAUAAUGGUGAUUUCGACCCAUAUGGGGUUUUAAGGAUCCACCCAUGACACCUAUAAAAGAGCAAUAUUAUUUCAAAUAAUUUCAUUAUAAAUAACCACUGUUAUCGGAACAAGGUGAGUUAGCCAAUAAUAAUUGAAUACCUUGUAAUUUCAGCAGAUAAUUUGAAGGAGCAAUAAUAAUUGAAAUUACAAUAUGUAAUUUCAGGAGAUCUUUACUAAAAGGUUAUAUAAAUAUAUAUGAUAGAUAGCUAUAGUAAAUGAUAAUUAAUAUAAAUUUGUUCAUUUCGUAAAAUGACACUUAAUAUAAAAAUAUUAAUGAAGAGAUAAUUAAACUGUAAAGAAUAGAAUAAUGUUUUUUUUUUUAUUUUUAUAUUUUCAGGGGACUUACAAAAUACCACAAAGCAAGAGACAGAAGAAAAUAAAAAAGGGGAAGAUUCAGCAAUAAAAGAUGAAAAAGAUAC
rnacentral:lncRNA from 1 species